rnacentral:rRNA from 1 species
UGGGGAAUAUUGCACAAUGGGGGAAACCCGUACGAUGCAGCGACGCCGCGUGAGCGAAGAAGUAUUUCGAUAUGUAAAGCUCUAUCAGCAGGGAAGAAAAUAGACGGUACCUGACUAAGAAGCCCCGGCUAACUACGUGCCAGCAGCCGCGGUAAUACGUAGGGGGCAAGCGUUAUCCGGAUUUACUGGGUGUAAAGGGAGCGUAGACGGCGAAGCAAGUCUGAAGUGAAAACCCAGGGCUCAACCCUGGGACUGCUUUGGAAACUGUUUUGCUAGAGUGUCGGAGAGGUAAGUGGAAUUCCUAGUGUAGCGGUGAAAUGCGUAGAUAUUAGGAGGAACACCAGUGGCGAAGGCGGCUUACUGGACGAUAACUG